AUGCCUCUAAAAUAUUGGGAUGAAGCAUUUAUUACAGCAACAUAUCUCAUUAAUCGCCUUCCAAGUAAAGUUAUUGGCAACUCUACUCCUUUGGAACGUCUCUACCAUCAAAAACCAGACUACAAUUCUCUCAAAACUUUUGGGUGUGCUUGCUACCCCAACUUACGUCCGUAUAAUCAUCACAAACUUGAAUUCCGUUCCACUCAAUGUGUUUUUCUUGGCUAUAGUAAUCUACACAAGGGAUACAAGUGCCUAGAAAUUUCCACCGGACGUAUAUAUAUUUCUCGAGAUGUAGUCUUUGAUGAAACUCUCUUUCCGUUUGCCAAGCUUCAUCCCAACGCAGGCGCUCUUCUCCGUGCCGAAAUAGCACUUCUUCCGGAUCUUGACACACUAUCUGAUCACAGGGGUGAAUUAUCUGAAGCUGACCAUGUGAACAAAUCCGCAGAAAAUUGCAGCUCUAAUGAUAUUUGUACAGAUGCAGCUCAUGAUUUUAUGUGUCCAGAAACAGCCAAUAUAGCCGUUGCUGAUCGCGAUGAGGAUUUUGGCGGCAGCAGGCGAUCUGGCGCGCGAUCCCAGGCGAAUCCUGGCGCCAGCGCCAGCGCAAUCAUUGGCGCACGAUCCGAGGAGGAUCCUGCCCAGCUGCAUGCGGAGACGACGCGUGACCCGGUGGCCGAUAGCGACCGCGCGGAGCCCACCAGCCCAGGUGGGGCCGGGGGCGAAUCCCCGCUUGCCACGAGCCCACGGUCCGCGGGGGUGGCCGACCAGCCGCCCGACCGGGCGACCGCGGCUGGGUCCAGCCCACGGGCCCCGAUACGCACGUCCACCCGUGUGGAGUCUUCAGGCGACACGCGGCCCGUUUCUGCUGGUGGAACAAUCCCGAGGCCGAUCCUAUCUGCAGAAGAUCUGGUGCGCGAUCCCGCGGCCGCUGGGCGUGUGCAGGACGCUGGAUCUUCUGUGGCGGCCUCCUCUGCUGCACAAAUUAUUCCUCGACGUCACACACGGUAA
rnacentral:rRNA from 1 species